CGUUGAGAGAAGCCUGAAAUAUCCAAGUGCUGCAAAAUGAUGAAGGCCGUGCUUGCUCUUGUUUUGGCUAUGGUAGCCAUCGCUUGCGCCUCGACCGGCGUUGAUGUCAUUCGCCACACUCCCGGAUAUGAUGGCUUCUAUGGUCUCUACGGAUAUGCACCCUAUUACUACGGAUACGGAAAUGGAUAUUUUGGAUAUGAUGGACUUGGUUUUGGACCUUACAACUACUAUGGUCUUGGAUACCGAGGAUACUUGGGAGGACUCGGUUAUUAUAGAUAUUUUUAAAGACCUAUUACCAGAAUUGAAAAAUAUCUUCAAAGAUUGUUUGUCAUAUGCAUCAGUAAUCCAAAAAUAAAAACUUGCAAGAUUAACGUAAAAAAUAAAUAAAGGCAUUACUAAUUGAAAUGGGAUUCUUUUUUGUUAAUAUUUUC